rnacentral:tRNA from 4 species
GCCGAGGUGGCGAAAUUUGGUAAACGCUAUGGUUUCAGGAACCAUUGGGAGAAAUCCCUUGUGGGUUCAAAUCCCACCUUCGGCA